rnacentral:rRNA from 1 species
AUGGCGGCGGCGGCGGUAGAAGACCGGAGCUGCGUGAUCCUGGCGACGAACGACUACAGUAGCCACACGUACACGCUGCACCACAUCGACGUGGCGCCGUUCUUCUCCCACCCCGAUCCGGACGAUGAGGCCAUGGACGACAUCCCCCUGCCUCCCGCGUCCGCGCGCUUCGACAAGCCGCCAUUCCCGCGGAACUGCUUCGUCAACUUCCACCUCCUCCGCGGAGGCGGCAUCUACGGCGGCGGCGACGUCAAGGUCGUGUCCACCGACGGCGAGCGCCGUACCGUCAUCUACGACGUCGCCCGCCGCGCCGUCCGUGGCGGGCCGGUGAUGCGCGCUCGCAAGGGCAGCCCGAUCUCCGCCUCCGUCGGGGACGGCCUCUUCGUCCUCGAACUCGUACCCGACAAGGGCAAGGGCUGCUUCGAGGCCCUCCGCUACGACCGGCUCCGGGAGGACUGGUUCUGGCACAGCCUCCCGCGGCCGCCCUACGUGCGCGAACCCGGCUCCACCUGCUCCGCCGUCACGGCACACACGCCGGCCGCCGGUGGCAUGAUCUGGACGUACACGAAGAACGCGGGGACCUACUCAUUCGACACCAGGCGCUGCUCCUGGAGAAAGGAAGGCGAAUGGGCGCUGCCGUUCGUCGGAAAAGCCGAGCACGUCCCGGUCGAAGGACUGUCUUUCGGCUUUGCGUCCAUCAGCGGCCCUCUCUGCGCCGUCGACCUCGCCACCGCCACCGCGGAGAGACCGCCAGAGGUGCGCGGGGUCUGGGAGGAAUUUAGGCUGCCCGGGGAUUGGCUGGGAGGCACCUCCUCCCUAGUGCACCUCGGGUCCGGCAAGAUGUGCAUCUUCAGGUUCUUCGGCACUGUCCCUAGCCCCCCUAUCGACAGAUCUGGGAAGAAACCGGACCGUUUCGUCGUCAUCACCCCCGUCGAGGUAGGUCCCAGCGACGACGGCGGCAGAGAGAUCAAGAUGGUGAAGCACAGGUCCAAGCGUAUCAAAUUAGACAGACUUAAUGGACACAUAACAUGGGUACUCUGA